GCAGAGCUUUCCCGAGGGGGCGUCGGCUCAGCCCGGCGCUCGGGGCUGCUACGGUGGUUCGGGUCGGAGACCCCUGAGAUCGUAAAGAUUUGUCCAGUGAGGUGCAGACGGUUCCAGAGACAAGGAAACGGUCACUGGGGAGAGAGAAAGUGGAUUGUCAGGUUCCGGGACCUGCAGAGUGGCCAGUGUGACUAGAGAGUGAGUGGUAGGAGAAAAGAUUUUGUGUGCGGCAGAGGCAUCUCAUCACUCACCUGAGUAAACAGCUGGGAUCUUUCUGUUCAGAGAUGAGCCACCAUGCUCCUUAUGGUGGAGAGUCCUUGGAGACCCAGAAGAUCAUAGACAGCCCCCAGGAGGGCUCUAUGCUGGCAGUCUAAAGACAGAAAUAGCCAUGCGGUGGCUGUUAAAGGGCUGAGACUGUUGCGUGCUUUCUUGUGAUAGAUGGUAGGACUCAGCUCGGAAGAGGCUGACUCCAGAUGGGACUUGAGGGAAAACGGGAAGAAACCGUGCCAUUACUCUGCACUUGAAGGAGCAUCUUUAGCCUGACAGGAUAAUGAACAUACUUCCUCUUUCAGUCAGGUUUACUGCAUGGCCGAGAGAGUGGUAGCUAUGUUGCAUAUUUUUGCCUGGGAUUCUUAGGGUUGGAGAAGACAAAAGUCAAAUCCAGAGGAAGAUGGAGGUAAAGGAUGCACUUUGUGAUGAAAUAUACUUGGCACCUGAAUGGAUUCCAGCCAGACUGGAAGAAGAAAAAGGUGGUCUAUCAGAAGAAAUGCAGCAAGAGGUUCCCUUUGCACAAAACCCUGCAGGAAGGGGUCUAGUCAGUGAAAAUCUGUCCUGGUUUAUUGUUUGGGCAGAGCUAGAGAAACAGAAGACUAAGCUGAGACCUACCCAGGCUCCCCCUAAAAGUCUUGGCACAGCACCUGACUUUCAAUAGGUGUUUGGUAACCAUUUGUUACAGGACUGAGUGCCAUGGGGCAAGGUGGUUAAUUUUUUUUCCUCCGUCAGAGUGGUGAUCCACUUCAUUAUACUAUUUUA